CAUCAUGUGCAUCAUAAUCCAAAACCAAAUAACAUACAAACAAAGCCUAUCAAUAAUCAUGGACAUGUAUUCCAAAAAUACAGAACAUACACAGUUUAUUAACAAAAAUGCAACUCUUUAGUCAUAGGUUAAUCUUGACAAUAGUAGGGAAGGAAAUAAUCCACAGUAUCAUCAAAUUCAAACGACGCCAUACAAAACAAAAACCAACAUAAUGUAAUAGUAACGGGAGAAUGGUCAUCACAAU
rnacentral:lncRNA from 1 species